UGCUAUUUGGGUGAGGAUAAGCCAUGCGAGUCGAAUGGGAUACCUAAAUUUCCCAUGGCAAACUGCUCAAUAACACAUGAUCAACUUACCCUAUAGAGAAAAAUAACCUCGGGAAACUGAGGAUAAUGUUUCAUAGUUGAAAAGGCUUGGAAAAGUUUUUCGACCAAAGGGAUAAGAAAAAUGGUUUUUAUCCGCUAUAGGAUAGGAUCGUGGUCGAUUAUGGUCGUUGGUGAGGUAAUGGCUCACCAAGCCGAUAAUCGAUAGGGGCCGUGAGAGCGGGAGCCCCGAGAUGGGUACUGAGACAGCGACCCAGGUCUUACGAGACGCAGCAGGCGCGGAACCUCCGCAAUACACGAAAGUGUGACGGGGUUACCCAAAGUGUUCAAUUUUGAACUGUGGUAGGUGAGUAAUGUUCCCUACUAGAAAGGAGAGGGCAAGGCUGGUGCCAGCCGCCGCGGUAAAACCAGCUCUUCAAGUGGUCGGGAUAAUUAUUGGGCUUAAAGUGUCCGUAGCCGGUUUAGUAAGUUCCUGGUAAAAUCGGGUAGCUUAACUAUCUGCAUGCUAGGAAUACUGCUAUACUAGAGGGCGGGAGAGGUCUGAGGUACUACAGGGGUAGGGGUGAAAUCUUAUAAUCCUUGUAGGACCACCAGUGGCGAAGGCGUCAGACUGGAACGUGCCUGACGGUGAGGGACGAAAGCCAGGGGAGCGAACCGGAUUAGAUACCCGGGUAGUCCUGGCCGUAAACGAUGCAUACUAGGUGAUGGCAUGGCCAUGAGCCGUGUCAGUGCCGUAGGGAAACCGUUAAGUGUGCCGCCUGGGAAGUACGGUCGCAAGGCUAAAACUUAA
rnacentral:rRNA from 1 species